GACGAACGCUGGCGGCGUGCUUAACACAUGCAAGUCGAACGGUAAGGCCCUUCGGGGUACACGAGUGGCGAACGGGUGAGUAACACGUGGGUGAUCUGCCCUGCACUUCGGGAUAAGCCUGGGAAACUGGGUCUAAUACCGGAUAGGACUCCGGACUGCAUGGUCUGGGGUGGAAAGCUUUUGCGGUGUGGGUUGGGCCCGCGGCCUAUCAGCUUGUUGGUGGGGUGAUGGCCUACCAAGGCGACGACGGGUAGCCGGCCUGAGAGGGUGACCGGCCACACUGGGACUGAGAUACGGCCCAGACUCCUACGGGAGGCAGCAGUGGGGAAUAUUGCACAAUGGGCGCAAGCCUGAUGCAGCGACGCCGCGUGAGGGAUGACGGCCUUCGGGUUGUAAACCUCUUUCAGCAUCGACGAAGCGAAAGUGACGGUAGGUGCAGAAGAAGGACCGGCCAACUACGUGCCAGCAGCCGCAGUAA
rnacentral:rRNA from 1 species